UACAAAUGAACAAGAGUCGAAUAGAGCAAAUACAAGUGGAAAUCAAAAAGGAAUAGUGGCCCUCAUCCGAUCAUACUUUAUCUUCGCCAAGCCAAUCUUGUACUGAACAGCAGCUUGAACCCCUCUGAGGCAUGCAAUAUCUUCAUUCAUAGCAGUAGCCUUUUCGACGUGAUCUACGCUCUGCUUCGCCAGAUCAUCAGCUUCAGUAUUAUCCAAGCCUUGGAUAGCAG
rnacentral:lncRNA from 1 species